GUGCCAGCCGCCGCGGUAAUACGAAGGGGGCUAGCGUUGUUCGGAAUUACUGGGCGUAAAGCGCGCGCAGGCGGUUUUCCAAGUCAGUGGUGAAAGCCCGGAGCUCAACUCCGGAAAUGCCAUUGAAACUGUAAAACUUGAGUACGAGAGAGGUGAGUGGAAUUCCCAGUGUAGAGGUGAAAUUCGUAGAUAUUGGGAAGAACACCGGUGGCGAAGGCGGCUCACUGGCUCGUAACUGACGCUCAGGCGCGAUAGCGUGGGGAUCAAACAGGAUUAGAAACCCCCGUAGUCC
rnacentral:rRNA from 1 species